AUUGGGAUUCCUGCGUGCCAGCGUCGGCAACUUUUCAAUUGAUAUAUACAACUCAUUCGUAUAUCUGUAUAAAUUGCAUAUACGAUGACACGAACCAGCGAAGAAUUGCGACAGUUGUAUAUUGCAUUCUACUCGCUUCCUCACCUCGCCAAAUACCCGCCCCAAGCUAAGACUAACUCAACGUUUGAACGAGCGAGUUCCUCUUUUUCAAACAUCUCUCGCACCGGAUAGGCUGGUAUUACAUGGUACACAUGCAAUAUACAUUUGUGUGUGUUACUCGUUUGAUAUGUAUAUAUACCCGAGGCACGAGAGCGAACGCAGUCGCGCGCGCUUCACCGAGUUACGUUCCGCGAUCGACUUUUAUGCGUUCAGCCGCGGGGUGCACACAUCGCGCGUUUCGACGCUCAGCAGGUUAUGAAUAUAAACUGCUCACACAGGUGUCUACAUGUAUCUGCAUUUAAUUGACUGGACGUGCCUCUCCGGCUCUCCGCGUAUUGAGUGCGCCUCGAGCCAUGGCGGGAGACUCGACUGUACCAGCGCGGUGCUCUCGAGCCUUCUGGUGGAAACGAUUUUUUGUGGAAUCAACUACAAUCUCGGGCAAAUUCAUGGGGCAGAUUUCAGCCAGUCACUCAAUUGCUCUCAUUCCAGGAACUUGCGUUCGUCUCGCAUUUCAACUCAAGUUCAAGAUAUUUGGUGCUUGAAAUAGUUCAGAAAAUACUUCGUUGACCCUUGUUCAGUUUGGAGUAAUCGUUAUAGAUUGGAAGCUUCUGUUUGUUCAACGAAGCUCAAUAAAUUGAUGGAAUAAAAGAGUGGAAAAGCA